rnacentral:rRNA from 1 species
GAGUUUGAUCUUGGCUCAGAGUGAACGCUGGCGGCAGGCCUAACACAUGCAAGUCGAACGGCAGCACAGUCCCGCAAGGGAUGGGUGGCGAGUGGCGGACGGGUGAGGAAUACAUCGGAAUCUACCUUGUCGUGGGGGAUAACGUAGGGAAACCUUACGCUAAAUACCGCAUACGACCUACGGGGUGAAGGCGGCGGACCGCAAGGCGUCGCGCGAUUGGAUGAGCCGAUGUCCGAUUAGCUAGUUGGCGGGGUAAGAGCCCACCAAGGCGACGAUCGGUAGCUGGUCUGAGAGGAUGAUCAGCCACACUGGAACUGAGACACGGUCCAGACUCCUACGGGAGGCAGCAGUGGGGAAUAUUGGACAAUGGGCGCAAGCCUGAUCCAGCCAUGCCGCGUGUGUGAAGAAGGCC